rnacentral:rRNA from 1 species
UACGUAGGGUGCAAGCGUUGUCCGGAAUCAUUGGGCGUAAAGCGCGCGUAGGUGGCUUCGUAAGUCCGAUUGUGAAAGUCAAAGGCUCAACCUUUGAAUGCCGAUGGAUACUGCGAAGCUAGAGUACGGAAGAGGCGAGUGGAAUUCCUGGUGUAAGCGGUGGAAUGCGCAGAUAUCAGGAGGAACACCAAUAGCGAAGGCAGCUCGCUGGGACGUACUGACACUAAGGGCGAAAGCGU